UAGUCUCGCACAGAUGCAUAUCAAUAAGCGGAGGAAAAGAAACUAACAAGGAUUCCCCUAGUAACGGCGAGUGAAGCGGGAAGAGCUCAAAUUUGAAAUCUUAAAGGGUUUCCCUUUACGAAUUGUAGUUUAAAGAAGUGUUUUCUGUCGAGGUUUUGGUAAAAGUUCUUUGGAAUAGGACAUCAUAGAGGGUGAGAAUCCCGUAUUUGACCUUUACUUUCAACUUUGUGAUACACUUUCAAAGAGUCGGAUUGUUUGGGAAUGCAGUCCAAAAUGGGUGGUAAAUUUCAUCUAAAGCUAAAUAUUGGCGAGAGACCGAUAGCGAACAAGUACCGUGAGGGAAAGAUGAAAAGAACUUUGAAAAGAGAGUUAAACAGUACGUGAAAUUGUCAAAAGGGAAGCGUUUGACACCAGUGUUGUUUUUCUGAAAAUCAAUUAAAGAACUGUUUAUGCUAAGUUGUUUAGACUUUAUCAGCUAACUGUUUAGUUUUGAGCUUUUCUUUAAUGCACUUUUCAGCUAACAAGUCAACAUCAAUUUCUUUUGCUGUAAAAAAGCUUGAGGAAGGUGGCUUGAGAUUCGUCUUAAGUGUUUAUAGCCUCUUGCCUAUGCAGUCGGAGAGAUUGAGGUCUGCAGCGUAGAUCCUUCGGGGCUAAAUGCAUUUGUGCUAAGUUAUAGCAUUUUAUAGACAACUUGUUGACUAUGAUUUGUCUUGUAGCUUACUCGCUUAUGUUAUUUUACCUACGCUUAGGAUGUUGAAGACUCUACAGAGAUA
rnacentral:rRNA from 1 species